rnacentral:lncRNA from 13 species
CGAAGGAACAAGAAAACUGAUGAAACAAGUUCAAAAGAAAGGUCUACUCCCCAAGGCAAAAACAAACAACAACAACAAAAACCAGAAGUUUCUGAAGGACAGCAGAAAUGGGAAGUUCUUUCCAUGAUGCAAGGCAAUCAAUGGAAAGUGACCUUCUUUUGUGAGCUACACCUAGGUAGCCCCAGUCAUGUGAAAUCACUGAUGGUAGCAACGGAUAAAGAUGCUGGAAGGGGAAACUGAGGCUUGAAAAUAUAUAUACUUUCAGGGUGGACUUUGGACAUGCUGUUAUUAAAAUGUAAGUCUCUUGACAUUGGAGUAGGAAGAGUGGGUAAGUAGGAUUGUUAGGCUUUUAAAAUAUUCCUCAUUAAGAGGAUUUUUUAAAAACCCAAGUUUUGGUGUUAAAAUUUAAGACACUCAGGAAGGCGGCUUAUUUCAGUUGGAAAGAUAUUAAAUAGUAAGCUGAUUUUCAGGGCCCAAGUAGACAGUAUUUUUUGGAAUCCUGAGGUCUGUUAUUUCUAACAUGCACAUAUAGCACUGACAAAUUCAGUCCAGAUUGAAAAUAAGUCACUGAUGUUUUUGGUAGUUAUUUAUUUCUUAUUGCAAUUCACAUUGGAAUUUUCCUAAAGGUUUUUUUAUGUCUUUAUUUGUUUUGGUAUAUUGGUUCUUAGCUGAUUAAUUAUACUUUUUCCUAGAAUUAAAAUAAGAUUAUGUUUAUCUUAGAAAGGCAAAGAAUGAGUAAAUAUUUAACCCAGAACACAUGAUUUGUUUAUUUUAAAAGUCUAUUGAUCUUUAUCAUUAUUCUUUUUAACAACAUAUCAGAAGUAGGCUAGGCUGAGAUGGAAAAAUUCAUUUAUAAUUUUAAAACAAAUGCUUCUCUAAGUAAAAAUAUUUUUUUUUCUUUUUCAAAUUAGUAGUUUGUGUUUAGCUGGCAUUCUCAUAAUUGAUAGAGUGUUUUUAUGUUUAAAAUAAGGGUAUGCUUGGGAGCCUAAGAUCUGAUUGAUUAUUAAGUUAGGGACUAUAACAAUAACUCCUAAUUAUUUCUCUGUUUCAAAAUCAGAUCUGUUGUAUGCAAAGAAGAAUUUUACAUGGUAAAAGCAUAAAUGUAAUACAUCUUAAGCUUUUAUUUAAUUUUUAAAAUUAAUUAAAAAGAUAAAUGCCAUGAUAUCUAAGGAUUUCUAUUUAAUAUGGUGCUUUUGUCUUAAAUUGUUGAUGUUCACACUGUCCUUGCAGAAUUUCAUUGCAUUCAGGAAUAUUUGUGAAUGUUCUUCUAUCUAAGAAGGUGUUAUAUUUCAGCGAAUUAUAGGUGGCAGUAUACACAGCUAAAUUCCGUGUGUUACUGCAGGUCGAUAGAAGAUUUUCCAAUCGUUUAACAAUUUUAUAUUUAUGCUUAUUGUCAUUCUAUCCCCAUUUGUUAACCACCUCCUGUUUUUGGUGUUAAUGUAAGAACACCAAAUAAACUUCCUCUGAUGAGAGAAUGCUCGUGAGAA